GAUGAAGAACGUAGCGAAAUGCGAUAAGUAAUGUGAAUUGCAGAAUUCAGUGAAUCUUCGAAUCUUUGAACGCACAUUGCGCCCAUUAGUAUUCUAGUGGGCAUGCCUGUUCGAGCGUCAUUAAGUCCACUUAAGCCCUGCUUAGUGUUGGGAGACUGCUCCAGCGGUGCUACCCUGUAGCUACCCUGCAGCUCCUCAAAGACAGCGGCGGAGUUGUGGUAUCCUCUGAGCUUAGUAACUUGUUCUAGCUUUCGAGUACACCACUUCCCCUGCCGUAAAACCCUUAAUUUUUAAUGGUUGACCUCGGAUCAGGUAGGAAUACCCGCUGAACUUAAGCAUAUCAAUAAGCGGAGGA
rnacentral:misc_RNA from 1 species